AUUGAACGCUGGCGGAAUGCUUUACACAUGCAAGUCGAACGGCAGCACGGGGGCAACCCUGGUGGCGAGUGGCGAACGGGUGAGUAAUACAUCGGAACGUGCCCGGUCGUGGGGGAUAACGUAGCGAAAGUUACGCUAAUACCGCAUACGAUCUGAGGAUGAAAGCGGGGGACCUUCGGGCCUCGCGCGAUCGGGGCGGCCGAUGUCAGAUUAGGUAGUUGGUGGGGUAAAGGCCUACCAAGCCGACGAUCUGUAGCUGGUCUGAGAGGACGACCAGCCACACUGGGACUGAGACACGGCCCAGACGCCUACGGGAGGCAGCAGUGGGGAAUUUUGGACAAUGGGCGCAAGCCUGAUCCAGCCAGUCCGCGUGCAGGACGAAGGCCUUCGGGUUGUAAACUGCUUUUGUAUGGAACGAAAAGGCUCUGGCUAAUACCUGGGGCUCAUGACGGUACCGUAAGAAUAAGCACCGGCUAACUACGUG
rnacentral:rRNA from 1 species